rnacentral:rRNA from 1 species
UGAGGGAAUAUUUGGGGUCAAUGGACGAGAGUCUGAACCAGCCAAGUAGCGUGCAGGAUGACGGCCCUAUGGGUUGUAAACUGCUUUUAUAGGGGGAUAAAGUGUGCCACGUGUGGCAUAUUGCAGGUACCCUAUGAAUAAGGACCGGCUAAUUCCGUGCCAGCAGCCGCGGUAAUACGGAAGGUCCGGGCGUUAUCCGGAUUCAUUGGGUUUAAAGGGAGCGCAGGCCGCCCCUUAAGCGUGUUGUGAAAUGCCGCGGCUCAACCGUGGCACUGCAGCGCGAACUGGGGGGCUUGAGUGCGCGCAGCGCAGGCGGAACUCGUGGUGUAGCGGUGAAAUGCUUAGAUAUCACGA